rnacentral:tRNA from 2 species
GGGUCAGUGGUCUAGGGGUAUGAUUCUCGCUUCGGGUGCGAGAGGUCCCGGGUUCAAAUCCCGGCUGACCCC